rnacentral:rRNA from 1 species
GUUGUGAGGUUAACGACUAAGCGUACACGGUGGAUGCCACGGCAGUCAGAGGCGAUGAGGACGUGCUAAUCUGCAGGCGUUAAGGUGAUAUGAACCGUUACAUAACCGGCGAUUCCGAAUGGAAACGGUGUGUUUCAGAGCACACUAUCAUUAACUGAUCCAUAGGUUAAUGGGCGAACCGGGGAACUGAAACAUCUAAAUUGCCGAGGAAAGAAAUCAGCUUAGAGAUUCCCCAGUGGCGGCUUGAGCGAACGGGGGCUGCGGCCCCAGAGCCUGAAUCAGUGUGUGUGUUGGUGGAAGCGUCUGGAAAGGCGCGCGAUACAGAGUGGUGACAGCCCCGUACACAAAAUGCACAUGCUGAGCUCGAUGGUAAGGGCGGGACACGUGGUAUCCCUGUCUGAAUAUGGGACCAUCCUCCAAGGCUAAAUACUCUGACUGACCGAUAGUGAACCAGUACCGUGAGGGAAAGAGGCAGAAAGAACCGGCGAGGGAGUGGCACAGAAACCGUGUGCGGCACAAGCAGUGGGAGCACGCUUGGGCGUGUGACUGCGUACACUUUAUAAUGGGUCAGCGACUUAUAUUCUGUAGCAAAGGUUAACCGAGAAUAGAGGGGGCCGAAGGGGAAACCAGAACUGGGCGUUAAGUUUGCAGGGAACAGACCCGAAAACAUUGAUCUAGCCAUGGGCGGAGUUGAAGGUGGGUAACACUAACUGGAGGACCGAACCAUUUAAUGUUGAAAAAUUGGCAGAUGACUUGUGGCUGGGGUGAAAGGCCAAUCAAACCGGGAGAUAGCUGGUUCCCAAGCUAUUUAGGUAGCGCCUCGUGAAUUCAUCUCAGGGUAGAGCACUGUUUUCGGCAAGGGGUCAUCCCGACUUACCAGCGAUACAGGCUACCCGAAUACCGGAGAAUGUUAUCACGGGAGACACACGGCGAGGUGCUAACGUCCGUCGUGAAGAGAGGAAACAGCAGACCGCCAGCGCUAAGGUCCCAAAGUCAUGGUUAAGUGGGAAACGAUGUGGGAAGGCCCAGACAGCCCGAGGAUGUUGGCAAGCAGCCCAUCAUUUAAAAGAAAGCGUAAUAGCUCACUGGUCGAGUCGGCCUGCACCGGAAGAGAUGUAGCAGGGCUAAACAUGCACCGAAGCGCGGCAACGCUGAUGCACGUUGAUGAGUGAGGCGUUCUGUAAAGCCUGCAGAGAAGGUGUGCUGUGAGGCAUGCUGGAGGUAUCAGAAGUGCAGUGCUGACGCAAAGUAGCUGAUAAAGCGGGUGAAAGCCCGCUGCCGAACAAGGGUUCCUGUCCAGCGUUAAUCGGGGCAGGGUGAGAUUAGGCCCAGGGCGAAGGCGAAAGGCGUAGUCGUGGGAAGCAGGUUAAUAUUCCUGUACCCAAUUGUUACUGCGAAGAGGGACGGAAGAAAGAAAACUAUGUUGGCCGGGCGACGGUUGUCCCGGUUUUAAGCGUGUGAGCUGGUUUUCGGGCAAAUCGGAAAAUCAAGGCUGAGGCGGUGACGAGGCACUACGGUGCUGAAGCAGCAAAUGCCCUGCUUCAGGAAAAACCUCUAAGCAUCCAGGCCAACAUCAAAUACGUACCCCAGAAACACGGAGUGUGGUCAGGUAGGGAAUACCAAGGCGCUUGAGAACUCGGGUGAAGGGCAGGCAAAAUAGUUGCCGUAACUUCGGGGAGAAGGCACGCUUAUUAUGUAGGUGAAGUCCCUCGCGGAUGGAGCUGAAAUCAGUCCCGAAAAUACCAACUGGCUGCAACUUUGUUUAUUAAAAACACAGCACUGUGCAAACACGAAGUGGACGUAGCGGUGUGACGCCUGCCCCGGUGCCGGAAGGUUGAGUGAUGGGGUUAGCCGCAAAGGCGAGCGCUCUUGAUCGAAGCCCCGGUAAACGGCGGCCCGUAACUAUAACAGUCCCCUAAGGUAGCGAAAAUUCCCUUGUCGGGUAGUUCCGACCUGCUGAAUAAUGGCCGGGCUGUCUCCACCCGAGACUCAGUGAAAUUGAACUCGCUGUGAAGAUGCAAUGGCCACCCGCGGCAAGACGGAAAGACCCCGUGAAGACUUUACUAUAGCUUGACACUGGAAACAUUGAGGCGCUUGAUGUGUAGGAUAGGUGGGGAGGCUUUGAAGUGUGGACGCCAGUCUGCAUGGAGCCGACAGCUCACCCUUUGUGUUGAUGUUCCUAACGUUGACCCAUGUCGGGUUGCGGACAGUGUCUGGUGGGUAGUUUGACUGGGGGCGGUCUCUCCUCCUAAGAGUAACGGAGCACAGUUGGCUAAUCUGGUCGGACAUCAGGAGGUUAGAUUGCAAUGGCAUAAGCCAGCUUGACUGCGAGCGCGGCAGCGCGAGGCUUGGUGCGCAGCUUUGGAGUCAUAGUGAUCCGGUGGUUCUGAAGAAUGGAAGGGGCCAUCGCUCAACGGAUAAAAGGUACUCCGGGGAUAACAGGCUGAUACACUUAAAGAGUUCAUAUCGACGGCUUUGUUUGGCGCCUCGAUGUCGGCUCAUCACAUCCUGGGGCUGAAGUAGGUCCCAAGGGUAUGGCUGUUCGCCAUUUAAAAGUGGGCGCGAGCUGGGUUUUGGGAACGUCGUGAGACAGUUCGGUCCCCUAUCUCUGCCGUGGGCGCUGGAGGAGAACUGAGGGGCGCUGCUCUCUAGUACGAGAGGGACAGGUGGAUUGCAUCACUGGUGUUCAGGUUGUCAUGCCAAUGGCAGUAGCUAAAUACGGAAGAAUGAAGUGCUGAAAGCAUCUAAGCACGAAACUUGCCCCGAGAUGAGUUCUCCCUGACUCCUUGAGGUCCUGAAGGAACACGUUGAAGACGACGACGUUGAUAGGCCGGGUGUGUAAGCGCGCAGCGAUGCGUUGAAGGCUUAACCGGUACUAAUGAACAGGAAGCAACAUACAACGCCGAAG